GCAGAGUUCUCAUUUUUCAGAUUUGUAGUAGUAUUCGCUUUUGGUUUACAUGAUAUUGGCUGUAUCUCCCUGACAACUGCUCUUUGGUUGGUGUAGGUGUUUUUUUAUGGAUGUACCUGGUUGCGAUGAAGCUAAACAAGAAAUAAUGCUAUCACUUAUUACCUUUGUCCUUCAAAUUUGAGUAUAGGCCUGCGAAAUAAUGAAUAUUUGUGUCUCAUUGCUCCAGCAUGGUCAAUAAAGAUAUGUUGACCCAGGAAAUGUGGGUUUAUCAUAGGUCCUACUGUAUACGUUGAUAUAUGAAAUAUGACAUUUACGGUUAUAUGCUAUCACUUAUUGCCUUUGUCCUUUGCAUUGAGUAUAGGCCUGUGAAAUAAUGGUGUAUUUGUGUGUUGAUUCGUCUGUUUUCCUUCAUGUUCUGGUUCUAAGGUACUAGGACAGACCCAGAGUUAUUUGUAAAAAAAUGUGUUCCAAUGUACCAAUAUUUUGUAUCCUUUCUAAUGCUUAAAAAAGAGGCCAAUAAUUCUUUUAGAAUAUGUAAUAUAUGACAUGUGUAACGCACCUUAAGAGACUACUAAGUUAUCCUGUAUAAUUGGCACGCCCUACUUUUGUAGUAAUAAAUAUAUCAGGUGCUGCUCCAUACAGGUGAUACAUUGCAUUUACCAUAGUAUUUGAUUACAUAUGAUAACAUAAAAUCUGUUUUUUCCUUAGCGGUUCGGCACAUUAGUGCAUAGAAACAGAGUACAGGCAAAUUGAUUAGAUGCAUUAGUUAAGAACACUGAUUUUUUUGGAAAGCUUCAUCAUGACAUCGAUAUUGGUUUCGCCUUACUACCACUCAGAGGUUGGAUGGAGCAUUGAGGAUUUCAGGCUUGGGGUGGCCACGUGUUGCAGGAUAGCAGGAAGAGUUGGAUGUGUUCUGCAGAGACGAGGUGAUCAAUGUCGUUGCCGCCAGGUAGAUGAAGUACAACACUUCUAAAUUUUCUCAUUUAUUUAUCCUCAUAGUUGGUUCCCUUGAUACUUUUUCUUAGAAACAUGAUCAAAGAUACAAAAAGUUUUACUUCUGAAGCAGAAGUGGCAGUAUAGUGUGCAUGUCGUAUUGCAAGUAGAUUUUAUAGAUACCAAUAGAAAUAAUAACUUGGGAUUUAUUUCUGUUCAACCUCUGUGAUCUAGAUGAGCAAAGCAACAACUUUGGCUUUAUUUCUUUGUGAUGUAGAUGAGAAAAACAGUACCUUGGAUUUUAAUUUUGUUCUCUAUGAUGUAGAUUAGCAAGAUUUCUAACCAACAAAGUAAUUUAUUUUAGUAUGGUUUUGUCACUAUGAUUGGUAAUAUGAAGUUUAUUUAUUCUAGGUUCCUAUCUUUAGACAGUCACAUCCACGUUCGUACUUUUAGAAUAGUUGUUGCAGAGCAUUUUUGCAAUAGCAAGAUAUCAGGACCCAAUGGGCAUAGGCCGAACCAACCACCAUCACUAUUGCUUCAGGAUUAGAUAGCCAACAUCCACUCACGAGGUGAGUUUGCUUACUCUACUUUCAGUGUACUAUGCAGAUAUGUUGGUUAGAAAUUUUGCUAUGUUCCUGUCAAGUUGAUUAGAUAUGAAAAAUAUGCUCUAUAAUACCCACAUAAUACUUGUUUAAAUUGGCUUUUCCCUGGUUCAUCGGUGCACACAUGAAACCGGUAAUAAGAAGAGAAUCACCUGAUUUUUUUAUAGUCUAUUUUAGUAAGCAUGUUCAUAAUAUUAGGAUAGUUUAAUUUGAGAACAAUUGGCUGGAGGAACGAUGUAAUUUGAUACUCUGUUAUGUUGAUCUCCAGAGAAAUCUGGUUUUUGGUUUUUCAUUGAUGUACGUUAAUCUGUUGUGAAUCUUGUUUGCUUGCACCAAUUAUAUGUGUAACAAUUAGAGGGGAACUUUUGGAACUCAUACAUUCUAUUUCAAUUAAUGUUCAAAGCAACUUUCCUGUGUGAAUCUGAUAAUCUCACUGAAACAUGUGUUUCAUUGUGUAUAUUCAGCCUGUCGAGUCAAGUUUCAGACGAUCAUGUAUCCCCUUGAUAUUCACUGGAUGGAAUCCCCUGUUUUACUUAGACUGAACCUUCUACAAACAUCGGAAAAGCAACAGUAAUAAAGAUGGACAGAAAUUCCAAAAAUAAGGUUAGUUCUUCUUUGUUCCGUAUCAUUCUCUUUACCGUUCCUUUUGGUACUAUACUCCAAAAAAGAGGCAAUCGGAAAUAUUUAGGUCCACUGAAAAGUAAUUCUGGAGCUCGCAGAGUUCUCAUUUUUCAGAUUUGUAGUAGUAUUCGCUUUUGGUUUACAUGAUAUUGGCUGUAUCUCCCUGACAACUGCUCUUUGGUUGGUGUAGGUGUUUUUUAUGGAUGUACCUGGUUGCGAUGAAGCUAAACAAGAAAUAAUUCUAUCACUUAUUACCUUUGUCCUUCAAAUUUGAGUAUAGGCCUGCGAAAUAAUGAAUAUUUGUGUCUCAUUGCUCCAGCAUGGUCAAUAAAGAUAUGUUGACCCAGGAAAUGUGGGUUUAUCAUAGGUCCUACUGUAUACGUUGAUAUAUGAAAUAUGAUAUUUACGGUUAUAUGCUAUCACUUAUUGCCUUUGUCCUUUGCAUUGAGUAUAGGCCUGUGAAAUAAUGGUGUAUUUGUGUGUUGAUUCGUCUGUUUUCCUUCAUGUUCUGGUUCUAAGGUACCAGGACAGACCCAGAGUUAUUUGUAAAAAAAUGCGUUCCAAUGUACCAAUAUUUUGUAUCCUUUCUAAUGCUUAAAAAAGAGGCGAAUAAUUCUUUUAUAAUAUGUAAUAUAUGACAUGUGUAACACACCUUAAGAGACUACUAAGUUAUCCUGUAUAAUUGGCACGCCCUACUUUUGUAGUAAUAAAUAUAUCAGGUGCUGCUCCAUACAGGUGAUACAUUGCAUUUACCAUAGUAUUUGAUUACAUAUGAUAACAUAAAAUCUGUUUUUUCCUUAGCGGUUCGGCACAUUAGUACAUAGAAACAGCGUACAGGCAAAUUGAUUAGAUGCAUUAGUUAAGAACACUGAUUUUUUUGGAAAGCUUCAUCAUGACAUCGAUAUUGGUUUCGCCUUACUACCACUCAGAGGUUGGAUGGAGCAUCGAGGAUUUCAGGCUUGGGGUGGCCACGUGUUGCAGGAUAGCAGGAAGAGUUGGAUGUGUUCUGCAGAGACGAGGUGAUCAAUGUCGUUGCCGCCAGGUAGCUGAAGUACAAAACUUCUAAAUUUCCUCAUUUAUUUAUCCUCAUAGUUGGUUCCCUUGAUACUUUUUCUUAGAAACAUGAUCAAAGAUACAAAAAGUUUUACUUCUCAAGCAGAAGUGGCAGUAUAGUGUGCAUGUCGUAUUGCAAGUAGAUUUUAUAGAUACCAAUAGAAAUAAUAACUUGGGAUUUAUUUCUGUUCAACCUCUGUGAUCUAGAUGAGCAAAGCAACAACUUUGGCUUUAUUUCUUUGUGAUGUAGAUGAGAAAAAUAGUACCUUGGAUUUUAAUUCUAUUCUCUAUGAUGUAGAUUAGCAAGAUUUCUAACCAACAAAGUAAUUUAUUUUAGUAUGGUUUUGUCACUAUGAUUGGUAAUAUGAAGUUUAUUUAUUCUAGGUUCCUAUCUUUAGACAGUCACAUCCACGUUCGUACUUUUAGAAUAGUUGUUGCAACGGGGAAGAGCAUUUUUGCAAUAGCAAGAUAUCAGGACCCAAUGGGCAUAGGCCGAACCAACCACCAUCACUAUUGCUUCAGGAUUAGAUAGCCAACUUCCACUCACGAGGUGAGUUUGCUUACUCUACUUUCAGUGUACUGUGCAGAUAUGUUGGUUAGAAAUUUUGCUAUGUGUCUGUCAAGUUGAUUAGAUACGAAAAAUAUGCUCUAUAAUACCCACAUAAUACUUGUUUAAAUUGGCUUUUCCCUGGUUCAUCAGUGCACACAUGAAACCGGUAAUAAGAAGAGAAUCACCUGAUUUUUUAUAGUCUAUUUUAGUAAGCAUGUUCAUAAUAUUAGGAUAGUUUAAUUUGAGAACAAUCGGCUGGAGGAACGAUGUAAUUUGAUACUCUGUUAUGUUGAUCUCCAGAGAAAUUUGGUUUUUGGUUUUUCAUUGAUGUACGUUAAUCUGUUGUGAAUCUUGUUUGCUUGCACCAAUUAUAUGUGUAACAAUUAGAGGGGAACUUUUGGAACUCAUACAUUCUAUUUCAGUUAAUGUUCAAAGCAACUUUCCUGUGUGAAUCUGAUAAUCUUACUGAAACCUGUGUUUCAUUGUGUAUAUUCAGCCUCUCGAGUCAAGUUUCAGACGAUCAUGUAUCCCCUUGAUAUUCACUGGAUGGAAUCCCCUAUUUUACUCAGACUGAACCUUCUACAAACAUCAGAAAAGCAACAGUAAUAAAGAUGGACAGAAAUUCCAAAAAUAAGGUUAGUUCUUGUUUGUUCCGUAUCAUUCUCUUUACCGUUCCUUUUGGUACUAUACUCCAAAAAAGAGGCAAUCGGAAAUAUUUAGGUCCACUGAAAAGUAAUUCUGGAGCUCGCAGAGUUCUCAUUUUUCAGAUUUGUAGUAGUAUUCGCUUUUGGUUUACAUGAUAUUGGCUGUAUCUCCCUGACAACUGCUCUUUGGUUGGUGUAGGUGUUUUUUUAUGGAUGUACCUGGUUGCGAUGAAGCUAAACAAGAAAUAAUGCUAUCACUUAUUACCUUUGUCCUUCAAAUUUGAGUAUAGGCCUGCGAAAUAAUGAAUAUUUGUGUCUCAUUGCUCCAGCAUGGUCAAUAAAGAUAUGUUGACCCAGGAAAUGUGGGUUUAUCAUAGGUCCUACUGUAUACGUUGAUAUAUGAAAUAUGACAUUUACGGUUAUAUGCUAUCACUUAUUGCCUUUGUCCUUUGCAUUGAGUAUAGGCCUGUGAAAUAAUGGUGUAUUUGUGUGUUGAUUCGUCUGUUUUCCUUCAUGUUCUGGUUCUAAGGUACCAGCACAGACCCAGAGUUAUUUGCAAAAAAAUGCGUUCCAAUGUACCAAUAUUUUGUAUCCUUUCUAAUGCUUAAAAAAGAGGCGAAUAAUUAUUUUAUAAUAUGUAAUAUAUGACAUGUGUAACGCACCUUAAGAGACUACUAAGUUAUCCUGUAUAAUUGGCACGCCCUACUUUUGUAGUAAUAAAUAUAUCAGGUGCUGCUCCAUACAGGUGAUACAUUGCAUUUACCAUAGUAUUUGAUUACAUAUGAUAACAUAAAAUCUGUUUUUUCCUUAGCGGUUCGGCACAUUAGUGCAUAGAAACAGAGUACAGGCAAAUUGAUUAGAUGCAUUAGUUAAGAACACUGAUUUUUUUGGAAAGCUUCAUCAUGACAUCGAUAUUGGUUUCGCCUUACUACCACUCCGAGGUUGGAUGGAGCAUCGAGGAUUUCAGGCUUGGGGUGGCCACGUGUUGCAGGAUAGCAGGAAGAGUUGGAUGUGUUCUGCAGAGACGAGGUGAUCAAUGUCGUUGCCGCCAGGUAGCUGAAGUACAAAACUUCUAAAUUUGCUCAUUUAUUUAUCCUCAUAGUUGGUUCCCUUGAUACUUUUUCUUAGAAACAUGAUCAAAGAUACAAAAAGUUUUACUUCUGAAGCAGAAGUGGUAGUAUAGUGUGCAUGUCGUAUUGCAAGUAGAUUUUAUAGAUACCAAUAGAAAUAAUAACUUGGGAUUUAUUUCUGUUCAACCUCUGUGAUCUAGAUGAGCAAAGCAACAACUUUGGCUUUAUUUCUUUGUGAUGUAGAUGAGAAAAAUAGUACCUUGGAUUUUAAUUCUGUUCUCUAUGAUGUAGAUUAGCAAGAUUUCUAACCAACAAAGUAAUUUAUUUUAGUAUGGUUUUGUCACUAUGAUUGGUAAUAUGAAGUUUAUUUAUUCUAGGUUCCUAUCUUUAGACAGUCACAUCCACGUUCGUACUUUUAGAAUAGUUGUUGCAACGGGGAAGAGCAUUUUUGCAAUAGCAAGAUAUCAGGACCCAAUGGGCAUAGGCCGAACCAACCACCAUCACUAUUAUUUCAGGAUUAGAUAGCCAACUUCCACUCAUGAGGUGAGUUUGCUUACUCUACUUUCAGUGUACUGUGCAGAUAUGUUGGUUAGAAAUUUUGCUAUGUGCCUGUCAAGUUGAUUAGAUAUGAAAAAUAUGCUCUAUAAUACCCACAUAAUACUUGUUUAAAUUGGCUUUUCCCUGGUUCAUCAGUGCACACAUGAAACCGGUAAUAAGAAGAGAAUCACCUGAUUUUUUUAUAGUCUAUUUUAGUAAGCAUGUUCAUAAUAUUAGGAUAGUUUAAUUUGAGAACAAUUGGCUCGAGGAACGAUGUAAUUUGAUACUCUGUUAUGUUGAUCUCCAGAGAAAUUUGGUUUUUGGUUUUUCAUUGAUGUACGUUAAUCUGUUGUGAAUCUUGUUUGCUUGCACCAAUUAUAUGUGUAACAAUUAGAGGGGAAAUUUUGGAACUCAUACAUUCUAUUUCAGUUAAUGUUCAAAGCAACUUUCCUGUGUGAAUCUGAUAAUCUUACUAAAACCUGUGUUUCAUUGUGUAUAUUCAGCCUGUCGAGUCAAGUUUCAGACGAUCAUGUAUCCCCUUGAUAUUCACUGGAUGGAAUCCCCGGUUUUACUCAGACUGAACCUUCUACAAACAUCGGAAAAGCAACAGUAAUAAAGAUGGACAGAAAUUCCAAAAAUAAG
rnacentral:lncRNA from 1 species